GUGGGGAAUCUUAGACAAUGGGCGCAAGCCUGAUCUAGCCAUGCCGCGUGAUCGAUGAAGGCCUUAGGGUUGUAAAGAUCUUUCAGUGGGGAAGAUAAUGACUGUACCCACAGAAGAAGCCCCGGCUAACUCCGUGCCAGCAGCCGCGGUAAUACGGAGGGGGCUAGCGUUGUUCGGAAUUACUGGGCGUAAAGCGCACGUAGGCGGAACAGAAAGUCAGAGGUGAAAUCCCAGGGCUCAACCUUGGAACUGCCUUUGAAAAUCCUGUUCUUGAGGUGGAGAGAGGUGAGUAGAAUUCCGAGUGUAGAGGUGAAAUUCGUAGAUAUUCGGAGGAACACCAGUGGCGAAGGCGGCUCACUGGCUGGAUACUGACGCUGAGGUGCGAAAGCGUGGGGAGCAAACAGGAUUAGAUACCCGGGUAGUCC
rnacentral:rRNA from 1 species